rnacentral:lncRNA from 10 species
GUUUUCUGAGACACAAGAUCCAAUUGCUCUGCUGGCUUCUCAGCCCCCGGGCCUUCGAUGGCUCCCCAUGCCUGCAGAAGGAGCAGGUUAGCCUGAGAUGGAGUCUGCCCCAGGAUGACUUUUGACUUCCUCGUCUUGCCCAGUGCCCUGCCUUCAGCUAAAAACUGAGUUUCUCCCUAUGGGUUUCCACCUUUCAAAGCCCAUCUUCACUGUCACUUUGUCCAGGGAGCCAUCCCUGAUUCUCCCAGGUCUCUCAUCUGGGAAGUGGGAUGAUAGCGCCAACCUAGCUGGAUUGCUGUGACUGCCAGCACAAUGCCUUCUAAGGGUUCAAGACGUGUCUUUCACCUUCUGCCAUGAUUGUGAGGCCUCCCCAGCCACAUGGAACUGCAGGACUCCCAUACCCUGGGAACACCACAAGCCGCUCCUGAAGGCAAACAGAAGACUCAGAGACAGAACAGCAGAGCCUGAGCCAUAAGGAGUGUCAGCCGUGACCCUUAUGAUGGAUGAGAAGAGGUAUCAUGCCUUUUCCACCCCUACACCUGGAAGGAAGGUUCUGCAGCAAGUUCAUGAGAGACGAUAUGUGGAAUGUAAUCAGAGCAUACCUCUUAAUACUUAAAAGCCUUUGCAGGGAGAUCUCUCUUCCCAUCUCCUUCCUGGAAGACAGAAGCCUUGUGCGAGCCCCUUGUGUGAUGUCACCCCAGCUAGGGCCACCGGACGUUGGUCCUCAGCAGGGAGACUUUGGGUCCUCCACCAGGACCCAGGGCUGACCUGCAUGGCCAGGCCCCAUGGCCUGGGUAGAACCUUGUUUCUGCUCCAGGAAAAAACGAUCAACGAACCUUCAUUUAAGAAAAAGCACAGCGUUCUCAUGGGAACCAAGAAGACAAGCCCUUAAUGCAAAGUGUAUUCAGAG